GUUGUGGUUCUCCAGGAAAGAGGGGAACAAGGAGCAGUUAUGCUGUGAGAAGCUUUAAGCCAGAAGGAAGUUCAACACGCAGCUGAAGAUGCCUGGCCAAGGUGACUCAUAGCUGCAGCCAAACAGGAAAAGUAGCAGCAGAAGAAAUCAACUCUGGCCACAAAAACAGCCCUUCUGAAAGGACAGUUCAGCUGGGGACAGCGCACACACAUUUCCAUGGUGCAGUUGUAAAACAGCUGCAGACGCAGUCAGGAAGCAGCAAACAGCUUCUCCUUUGGUAGCAAAGUUCAGUGACCUCUAAGGAACAAAGUUCGUCUAUGGGACAAGCCACAGAGCAGAAACUCCCUCUCCUUCCCCUUUUCACACAAUACUCAUCGUUUUCUACUCAAGAACUCAGUUCCUGCUGCUGCCACGUCAGAGAGACCAGGGACAUCCUGUCAAACCAAUGGCAGAGACACAAGUUGAAUAUCACAGAAAAGGAUCUGGGGUUGUGGCAGAUCACAAACUGAAUAUGAGCCAACAAUGUGCUGCAUUUGCAGAAAAAGGCUAAUAUUCUGGAGUGCAGUAACCGGCAUGGUGUAUGUAAGACACGGGAGCGUUCACCUGGGAUAUGAGUCGGAGACAAUGCGGAGUGGCCAGCAGCGUCCUGGUGAGAGCCCAGAACUGCAGUGUCGGAGCCCCCAGGUCAAGUCACUGCUCCUACGAAUAGUAAAUUAUCUCGCGGCAGGAGAGACUGGCUGCGGCCCGCCCUGCUCCAACAAACGAGCUGCCCUAUUCGCCGGGGGGACGCCCACAGCACCAGGGCAAACGUUCGGGUUAAAACUCAUUUAGAUUUUGGCAGCUGGGGGGGGUGAAAUGUUGCUCCCCUCGCAGUGUGACCGAAGAGCAACAGGUCCAGGCUGAAGAUGCCCCGAGGGCCGUGUGCAGCGUAACCAAACCCUCAGCCCCGUACCUCAGUGGAGCUGUCUGCCUGCAGGAGGGAAGGGGCAAGUCUUUGGCGGGCUGGAGUUUAAGCCGGGGCCUGUUUCCUGCUGGAUCCACUCCACAGUGCGAGGGUAGCGCUGAAAUCCUGCAGCUGCUGUUUUGGGGCACAGGCCUGGGAGAGCUGAGUGAGCCGCGGGGCGCUCUGAUGGUUCAGACCGCCCAGGACGGAGAGGGAUUUAGGGUUUUUCCCAGCGGUGGGCUGGGGAUGUUAAUUUUAAAAGGAUUUCCUAGAAAACUAGAUAUUUGAACAUGGCCUGUUGCUGCCCUGUAUGUGUGUGUGGAGGGGAGGUCUGAUCCCCCGGCAUGAGGGGAGGUGGGAUGGGGUGGAGGGGCAGAGGCGAUGGAGAGCUGUGAGGCAAGGAACCACGGACAUGCAGGUGGUGGCUGGAGUUGCUGCACGGGGACGUGCUGGGGGGGCUUGCAGAGGGGAGGCAGGCUGCAGCCGUGCUGACUGACGCGGGGGGAGCUGUGGCCAGUGGUAGGGUGACCAGAUGUCCCAAUUUUAUAGGGACAGUCCCGAUUUGGGGGUCUUUUUCUUAUAUAUUUUCCUAUUACCCCCCACGCCCUGUCCCAAUUUUUCACACUUGCUGUCUGGUCACCCUAGCCAGUGGGGAGUGCAGGGUUGCCCAGGAGGUCUGCCCUGGAGUUUGGUGCUGUCAGGGGCACAGCUGUAGGCAUGGCGGGGGGGGAGGAAGCAUCGCUGUGAAGUCACAGCAAUAGGUGAGCUCCCCUGCCCUGCCCCUCACUUACCAGGAAUCCCGGGUGCCCAUGAAGGUCUGCCUGAGGAGGAAGAGAGAGUGGGUGGAGGGUCUAACUCUGGGAGAGGGGAGAGGGAUGGGACAUGAUCCUGACCCAGCCCCCUGCUAUCCCAGCCCCAUACAGCUCUGCCACUGCCCCUCACUCCCAACACACAGCCCCGUGGGGUGCCCCUCCUCCAUGUCCCCAGCUCUGCCACUGCCCC